GAUGAACGCUAGCGGCAGGCCUAACACAUGCAAGUCGAGGGGCAGCACAUAAAGUGGUUUACUACUUUUGGUGGCGACCGGCGGACGGGUGCGUAACGCGUAUGCAACCUGCCUCCAACAGGGGGAUAACGGAGAGAAAUUUCCACUAAUACCCCAUAAUAUCAGAAUCGGCAUCGGUUUUGGUUGAAAACUCCGGUGGUUGGAGAUGGGCAUGCGUUGUAUUAGAUAGUUGGUGAGGUAACGGCUCACCAAGUCAACGAUACAUAGGGGGACUUGGAGGGUGGCCCCCCACACUGGUGCUGAGACACGGACCAGACACCUACGGGAGGCAGCAGUGAGGAAGAUUAAUCAAUGGGGUCAACCCUAAAACAGCCAUGCCGCGUGCAGGAAGACGGCUCUGGGAGUUGUAAACUGCUUUUACAAGGGGAUAAAUCGGUGUACGUGUACACCGUUGAAUGUACCUUGGGAAUAAGGAUCGGCUAACUCCGUGCCAGCCGCCGCGGUAA
rnacentral:rRNA from 1 species